rnacentral:rRNA from 1 species
UGGGGAAUUUUGGACAAUGGGGGCAACCCUGAUCCAGCAAUGCCGCGUGUGUGAAGAAGGCCUUCGGGUUGUAAAGCACUUUUGUCAGGAACGAAACGGCUCUGGAUAAUACCUGGGGCUAAUGACGGUACCUGAAGAAUAAGCACCGGCUAACUACGUGCCAGCAGCCGCGGUAAUACGUAGGGUGCGAGCGUUAAUCGGAAUUACUGGGCGUAAAGCGUGCGCAGGCGGUUAUGUAAGACAGAUGUGAAAUGCCCGGGCUCAACCUGGGAACUGCAUUUGUGACUGCAUGGCUAGAGUUUGGCAGAGGGGGGUAGAAUUCCACGUGUAGCAGUGAAAUGCGUAGAUAUGUGGAGGAAUACCGAUGGCGAAGGCAGCCCCCUGGGUCAAGACUGACGCUCAUGCACGAAAGCGUGGGGAGCAAACAGGAUUAGAUACCCCCGUAGUCC